AAUGUGUUCCCAGAUAGGAUCACACAGUGCUUACUUGCAUGGGGGAAGCAAGAAAGAACAGCGUGGGUACAGGGUAGUUGUGUACCACAUUGUUCCAUUCCAGUGAAAUACACACUAUCACAUUGCCAUAGUGAAGUGCAGAACUGAUGGGGGGUGGGGGUGAGGGAAGCUCUUCAUCUGCAAGAACACCAUGGCAACUACAGUCUUCACUGAAACAGAGCCAAAUACAUUGAGAGACUGGAACAUGAAGCAAGAUGCAGAAUGAAAACCAAGGAAAAGGAGAAAAAGGUGAAGGACAAAUUAUCUAGAAGGUAGCCAGGUUCAGGGAGUUCGCCCCAGAAACCAAUUUGGACCCAGAGGUGAUGCCAGAGGCUCUGUGGAAGCUUGGCGACUAGAACUGGGCUAUUGAUGCAUCUCUGGCCCCCAGAACGAGGGUGUUGGCAGAGCAGCGGCUCCUGUGCAUGUGUUAAUCUGCAGCCAUUUCCUGGACUUCUGGGCCUACAAGCGAACCAGUACUUUGCCAAUCGGCAACCAACUUGGUUUGGGGAAUCGGACCAGCAUGCACUGGCUUGGGACAAGGGAAAUGCUGUGGAGCCAACUGCUUCCUGCACUGUGGGAAUAUUUAGCUGUUAGUCUACCCCGCAAGGUUCUGGUUGUGCAUUUGGGCGAGAAUGAUCUGGGGAAGUGAACUGGGCUCUCCCUGAUUCAACAAGCCACUUCUGUCUUUGCCACCAUUUGUGAGUGGGUUCCCGGGCUGUUCACUGUAUGGGUCGACUGGCUUCAAUGUAGAGGUCGGCGUGUGUAUGUGUCAGAGUUUGCCAGGAGUUGAAAGGGCUAGAAAUAAAGUGAAUACUGCCAUGGGCAAACAUGCUGUUGCCCAAGGGGGCAUGUUUAUAUUCUGCAGCCGGGUAUUGCACAUUCGUUGCCUCACUGUUUUUGUCCUGAUGGGAUGCAUUUGCCCAUGGCAGGGUGCAAUUUGUACCUGGAGAAUCUUCGGAGGGGACUUGCUGUAGUCUUGGAGCACUGUGGGGUAGGAAGGCCAAGCUAGGCUGACCUCCUGUUGUGGCAUAUACAGUGUGGGGUGGGUGGAGGUGUAUAAGGGUUUGAAAUCGGUGAGCACCCUUGGACAGUUUAAGUAGGGCGGAUUGGUCAAUCGGUCCUUAGAGGCUUUGCGGCUCAAGGACUUUGUUUCGCCAGGAAACCUGCCUCAGGGCUUCGUAAACCUUAAAGGCUGAGCAGCUUGGGGUGUGUGAAACCCUAGAAGUUGCCCUGACCCUGAGAAGCUGACAAUAUUAUAUGAUAUUUUAACAUAUAAAAAUAUGUUAUAUAAAUAAAUGAAUAAAUGAAUGAAUAAGGGGGAUGAAGAAGUUUUGACCACUUCUAUCCUGAGUCAGGUUGUGUCACCCAUUUUAGGCACAGGUGAGGACAGCAAUGUUUUAACUCGGCCUUAGUUAGGCCUGGAAUGUGGGGUGGCGGGGUGGAGUCUGUUGCACAGUUUGCUGAUUGUACCACAUUAAUAAAUUGGCCCUUUUUAUCCAA